rnacentral:rRNA from 1 species
GACGAACGCUGGCGGCGUGCUUAACACAUGCAAGUCGAACGCUGAAGCUUGGUGCUUGCACUGGGUGGAUGAGUGGCGAACGGGUGAGUAAUACGUGAGUAACCUGCCCUUGGCUCUGGGAUAAGCCUGGGAAACUGGGUCUAAUACUGGAUACGACAUGUCACCGCAUGGUGGUGUGUGGAAAGGGUUUUACUGGUUUUGGAUGGGCUCACGGCCUAUCAGCUUGUUGGUGGGGUAAUGGCUCACCAAGGCGACGACGGGUAGCCGGCCUGAGAGGGUGACCGGCCACACUGGGACUGAGACACGGCCCAGACUCCUACGGGAGGCAGCAGUGGGGAAUAUUGCACAAUGGGCGGAAGCCUGAUGCAGCGACGCCGCGUGAGGGAUGACGGCCUUCGGGUUGUAAACCUCUUUCAGCACGGAAGAAGCGGAAGUGACGGUACGUGCAGAAGAAGCGCCGGCUAACUACGUG